rnacentral:snoRNA from 1 species
CUAUGAUGAACAUUCCUAGAUGACGAGUCUUAUUCAGAUACUCUGAUGCAGACACACACUAACUACCAUUCAUGCAAAUCCUGAGC